CUUUCAACCCACCUGUUACUAGGAGGGUUGUUGUAAC
rnacentral:other from 1 species